UCUUCCUCCCCGGCUCAUUCCCCACCCCACCCCUCAAUCCCCACCAACCACCGCCCUCUCCACCAUCGUCGAGCACCUCCAUCAGCCACCCACCCGCUGGCGCCAACCCUGACGACCCAGGCGCACCCGAGACCCGGCGCCCCCAUCCAUCUACCUCCUCACUGCGUCGCGCCGCCGCGCCACCAAAGCGCUACCCGGCGAUGGAUCCAAGCCGGCAACCGCCCCAGCGUGCCUCCUGGCGGCGGAUCCGGGCCGGCAACUAUUCCCCUCCUCCCCCACGACUGGUUUCCUCUCCUUUGUGUCAAGAUCGACGGUGUUCAGUGUAGAAGCCGGACGACGUGAUGCUGCUGUUACCGAUCUGCUGCAGCAUCUCUUGUUCGACUCCGAGAUCACUGGCGAUGAACACAAUCAGUUGUAGCGCAUGGCAUGGCGUUGGUGGGGAGAUACAAAGGGAAGAUGAUAAGGGAAGAUGAUAGGGGAUUACUCGAUAAGUAUGCGGAGGUGCUGUAAAGUUUCCUCCUUUAUGUAUAGUUAUUUGAUUAUCCAUCUAAAUAUCAUCCCAUGUAUAUGUAUGAAACUCAUUUUGUGCUGCUAAAUUUGUUGUAUAGAUUUAGUAUUAUUUGGUGUUAAACUUAUAAUGAUCAAAACAAUGCUAAACUUACAUGUCGAUUCAUCAUUUGUA